GGCCGCCGCCUCGCCACCGUGGCGGUCCUGCAACUUCGACAUGAUCCCCGCCUCAGCCACACACUCGAGUCAGCAGCUGCAGGUAACACGUUCGCAUCAAGCACACUCACCACGCGAACUCCUAAUUUAACACGCUUGAUGAUGAUUUGGGGUUAGGAAGUUUCGCUGUUUCGUCGUAUUAAUUGUAAAUACGUAUACGCGCGCCGGCGGGGCUUGGUAGGGUUCGUGAAUGUGACGCCAAAACGGAGCAAUACAACUUGGAAGGAAUAUAUUGGCUGGCACGCUAAUUCUAGAUGGUUAAGCAUGUGUGGAACCAGUGGUUACACCGGAAUGCAUGUGGAGUUGUGAACUGUGCGUUUAAGAUAGCCACAAUCGAAUUGAUUCGCCAACUAGCAGAACGGGCGAUGAGAGCACUAGGCUGGCUACGUUAUAACGCCGUCAAAAUUCUCUCCACUUAUAUAAUAUAUAACUAGAAAAAUUAGUGCGGCUGUUGGCGCGCUGUCUUUUUAGCCCGUAUAAAGAGCACUGAAUUUUAUAUAUUUUCUUAUAAUAACUUAUUAAUUUCCCAUUUACUUUUUGCAAACAUUAUAUAUUUGAAAGAACCAUUUAGUGGGAGUAUCGUCUGAUAAUUGACAUGUAGGUUUAAUUUAUAACAAAGUGAAUAUUGCAUGUGUUUGAUAAAUUGACAAUUGAGGCGACAUAUAUGAGGAAUAAAGAUGUAUUUUUUUAUGAAAUCCAUAAAUAUUUUUUUUGUUUUCUAAAAUAUCUAGCUAAAGUUAUAACCGAUAAUUUAGAUGAAAAAUAUUUCUGAUGUUAAUUUUCCAGUAUAUGCCUAAACCUGAAAUUUAAUCUAUCUUCAUUCCCCAUUUGUGCUAUCUGCUAGGCCAAUCGUCCCAUUUAGCACUGCAAGUCCACCCAGGCCCAUACAGAGAACAGACCCAGCUGUCCAUGCUGCUGAUCACGCACGCCAGAUGCUUCCGGAUGCAGUUUUGUAUUUUUUUUACUACCU
rnacentral:lncRNA from 1 species